UUGCCAAUUAAGCCAAAUGGAUUUACUUGUGGGUGCCCAGUGUGCAAUGGCUGCAAACAGCAACUUUUCAGAAGAGUACCCAGUAUGUUUCUUGAAUGGGUUGCCCUAAGGGACCUUGGAGGCAGUG
ensembl:snoRNA SNORA70 Small nucleolar RNA SNORA70